rnacentral:tRNA from 1 species
GAUCCAUUAGCUCAAAAAGGUAAGAGCGCCCAGGUCUCCUGGCCUGGGAGGAUGGUGGUUCAAAUCCACCUGGAUCU